UUGGAACUUGAAAAGCACCUCUGGAGAUCAUCCAGUCCAGCUGCCUUGCUAAACUAGAGUCACCUAGAGCAGGUUGCCCAGGAUUGCAACAUCCAGGUAGUUUUGGAAUCUCUUCAGAGAAGGAGACUCUACAACCUCUCUGGGCAGCUUGCCCAUCUGCUAUCCCAUCUGAGCUAUCCCAUCUGUCCUGGAAUAAUAUAGCUGGAGCCUUCCACUUCCUGAAAAGCUGUUUGACAUCACAUGCUGUCAAAUCAGAGUCUGUGGUCAGCCUUUGCAAGACAUCGUGGGUCUUAGUCUGUCCUGGUACGCAGGUCCUCACAACAUCUUUGGGUUGGGGCACUGCCCCAGGAAGCAGAGCUGCAGCCUUUGGAUCUUCAUCUACUGGUAUCAUGGACUACAGUCAUGCACUUCUAGUUCCUCAGGGUGUGGAGACUCUUUAAGGCUAACAACCUGCCCAAGGCGUGAGGAGAACUGAAAAUAAGAGAGAACCAAUGAAACCAGAUGGCUAUUUUUUGUGUGGUUAGGGAAGAGGUGGAAGGUGCUUGUUCUGCCUGUGGAGCUGCUCAGAGGUAUACCUACAGAUCUUCUGACUCAGAACUGUUGAAUCCAAACAUCUGUGACACUUUCAGAGAGCUAUUUAUUCAUAAGAUAAACCAAAGUAGUUAAACUAUCCAAACCAGUGGCAAUCCACAGCAAUGCUUUGUGCUCUGGACUCGUACUGAGUGGUGCUGCCGCCUUUCAGCUGGGCAGGGCUGGACCUCAUUCUGUGAGCUGGGACCAUGACCCUGCUGUUCUCACUUCUGGCUUCUUGAAAGUGCAGCCAGCCUGCCAGUGAUGUGUGAUGCCACAGUCCUGCAGAUAGCACCCUCACUGCUGAGCAGCAGAGAAGUCAACCCAGCUGUAUGUGUUUGGAGAAGAUCUUUAAGGCUCAUGAGGCUCUCAGCUGCUCCUUUUUCUCCCUUAUGCUUAAUGCUUCUCCUCGCCAGUCCCAACAGCUCCAUGCUGUGAAGUGCUUCAGCAAUGCUUUGUUAGCACUUGGCCAGGCAAUGCCAUGCCACUUUCUCCUUUGCACGUGUAAGGCCUUGCAUACCCUCACACCCUGACCAGCUGUGCCUUGCUCCAGCACUUUGAAGAGGAGACCAAGCAGAAGUACCCCUGGCUGCAGAGAAGAGAAGGAACCCAGCUUCUGUUCUUGAAGGCUGCUGUGAACCAAUCUGUUCAAAAUGCACCAGUUGGACCUGUGACACUUGGGUAAAUCCAUCUGCAGAAUGCCUUAAAUUCUCCCUGCUACACCAUGAGCCAGAUCAAGUGUCUGCAGAUCAUUUUAUGCCUCAGGCUACAGGCAGUGAAAGUUUCUUAUAGUUUUAUUGUUUCUUCAUAAUUGUGUCAUAACUUUUAAAUGCUCUUUCAUGUUAACUAUAGCAAUAGUCCAUAAACAAUA